GAUGAACGCUAGCGGCAGGCUUAACACAUGCAAGUCGAGGGGCAUCACGGGUAGCAAUACCUGGUGGCGACCGGCGCAAGGGUGCGUAACGCGUGAGCAACAUGCCCUAUACAGGGGGAUAAUCCAGGGAAACUUGGUCUAAUAUCCCAUAGCAUUUAGAGGUGGCAUCACCAUUAAAUUAAAGCUUCGGUGGUAUAGGAUUGGCUCGCGUGACAUUAGCUAGAUGGUGGGGUAACGGCUCACCAUGGCUAUGAUGUCUAGGGGUUCUGAGAGGAAGACCCCCCACACUGGGACUGAGACACGGCCCAGACUCCUACGGGAGGCAGCAGUGAGGAAUAUUGGUCAAUGGGCGCAAGCCUGAACCAGCCAUCCCGCGUGCAGGAAGACGGCCCUAUGGGUUGUAACUGCUUUUCCAGGGAGAGAAACUUACGCACGUGUUGCGUGACUGACGGUACCUGGGAAUAAGCAUCGGCUAACUCCGUGCC
rnacentral:rRNA from 1 species